rnacentral:lncRNA from 1 species
UGACUAUUGUGCAUAACUCAAUUUGAAAAUAUUAUUUUAAUUUCACGAUUCUGAGAAUUAUUUAUACAUUGUCUUUAACAAAUAUGAUGAUAAAUUGAUACAAUCAAUUUCUAGGUCUUGCAUGAUGUGUAGAAUUUGAUUUUAUAUGUAUCUAGAAUUGUCAUUGAUUUUCGAACCAAUAAUUUUGCCAAAUUGAGUAUCCUUGAAAUUGAUCUUUCAAAUUUAUUUAUGAAUUUUUCUUUGAAGUUAUUGGGAAUGAAAAUUGGUUAUUUUUGUUGAUUUAUCAUUGUGGACUGUUAUAUAUUUUUUCUGGAAUUUUUGGAGCUUAUCUGAAUUUUUUUAAAAAAUUUUGGUCUCUGAGACCGGUCCCAGGCAGAAGAGACCGGUCCCUCCGCCCGACCCAAUAAAGGGGUUUUUGCUCGUGUGUCUU